rnacentral:lncRNA from 1 species
CCCCCGCCGCAGCGGUCAUCGCCGCCGCCAGUCCGCUAAUCCCGGAACCCACCACCGCCACUCUCAUUUUUUACGACCUGCAUUACGACAUCGUAUAGUUUGCAACAUCAACUAUAUAUAUAUACAGAAAAGGAACAAAUGAAACAGAGAGGGAAAGGAUAUUGUCAUCUGAGACUGAGAAGACUCACCCUGAGUGACACUGUAGUAAGCUUGUCAAUAGAGGGAAACAACGGGAGCAGGGGUGUGAAGAGCUAUUAUAAAUCUGAGGAAUUUAUGAAUGGGGUUAUUGUUUGGUUGGAAUUGGAGGAAAACUGGAAAAGGCAGAGUGGCAGAGGUAGGAAGGUGAGAGUGAGAGUGGAAAGUGGAUGGAGAAGAGAGAGAUGAUGAAUCAGGGAAAAUGAGAGGAGGCGCAGGCAUCUUUAUAUAUGGUAUGUUUCAUUUCCAUUCCGGGGAUUCAGAAUUACGUGGAGGUCCAUGGUUAAAAUUCAGACACAUCCAACAAUGUACAUUGAUAGAAUAUUUUUAAUGGAUUUUCUAUUAUAC